AACGAACGCUGGCGGCAUGCCUAACACAUGCAAGUCGAACGAGACCUUCGGGUCUAGUGGCGCACGGGUGCGUAACGCGUGGGAAUCUACCCUUGGGUUCGGAAUAACAAUUAGAAAUGACUGCUAAUACCGGAUGAUGACGUAAGUCCAAAGAUUUAUCGCCCAAGGAUGAGCCCGCGUAAGAUUAGCUUGUUGGUGGGGUAAUGGCCUACCAAGGCGACGAUCUUUAGCUGGUCUGAGAGGAUGAUCAGCCACACUGGGACUGAGACACGGCCCAGACUCCUACGGGAGGCAGCAGUGGGGAAUAUUGGAAAAUGGGCGAAAGCCUGAUCCAGCAAUGCCGCGUGAGUGAUGAAGGCCUUAGGGUUGUAAAGCUCUUUUACCAGGGAUGAUAACGACAGUACCUGGAGAAUAAGCUCCGGCUAACUCCGUGCCAGCAGCCGCCGUAA
rnacentral:rRNA from 1 species